GUUUUCAGUCCAACCCUCUUCCUGGAGAUCUACUGUCCUGUAGGUUUUCAGUCCAACCCUCUUCCUGGAGAUCUACUGUCCUGUAGGUUUUCAGUCCAACCCUCUUCCUGGAGAUCUACUGUCCUGUAGGUUUUCAGUCCAACCCUCUUCCUGGAGAUCUACUGUCCUGUAGGUUUUCAGUCCAACCCUCUUCCUGGAGAUCUACUGUCCUGUAGGUUUUCAGUCCAACCCUCUUCCUGGAGAUCUACUGUCCUGUAGGUUUUCAGUCCAACCCUCUUCCUGGAGAUCUACUGUCCUGUAGGUUUUCAGUCCAACCCUCUUCCUGGAGAUCUACUGUCCUGUAGGUUUUCAGUCCAACCCUCUUCCUGGAGAUCUACUGUCCUGUAGGUUUUCAGCCCAACCCUCUUCCUGGAGAUCUACUGUCCUGUAGGUUUUCAGUCCAACCCUCUUCCUGGAGAUCUACUGUCCUGUAGGUUUUCAGCCCAACCCUCUUCCUGGAGAUCUACUGUCCUGUAGGUUUUCAGUCCAACCCUCUUCCUGGAGAUCUACUGUCCUGUAGGUUAUCAGUCCAACCCUCUUCCUGGAGAUCUACUGUCCUGUAGGUUUUCAGUCCAACCCUCUUCCUGGAGAUCUACUGUCCUGUAGGUUUUCAGUCCAACCCUCUUCCUGGAGAUCUACCACCCUGUAGGUUUUCAGCCCAACCCUCUUCCUGGAGAUCUACUGUCCUGUAGGUUUUCAGUCCAACCCUCUUCCUGGAGAUCUACUGUCCUGUAGGUUUUCAGUCCAACCCUCUUCCUGGAGAUCUACUGUCCUGUAGGUUUUCAG